rnacentral:rRNA from 1 species
UGGCGACCGGCGCACGGGUGAGUAACGCGUAUGCAACUUACCUAUCAGAGGGGGAUAGCCCGGCGAAAGUCGGAUUAAUACCCCAUGAAACAGGGGUCCCGCAUGGGAAUAUUUGUUAAAGAUUCAUCGCUGAUAGAUAGGCAUGCGUUCCAUUAGGCAGUUGGCGGGGUAACGGCCCACCAAACCGACGAUGGAUAGGGGUUCUGAGAGGAAGGUCCCCCACAUUGGAACUGAGACACGGUCCAA